CGCACCGUUGCAUGCUGCGGUAAUGUCUGAAAUUGCAAAGUUAUCCAAUGAUUUCAGACCACUUUGAGACUUCCUGAAGAUAGAGGCAAGACGCUCUAUGUACAGGCUCUUCUUAUUGGGGCAAAUUUGUAUUAAAGGCUAAAACGUUCUGGGGAGGGCUCACUCGACCUUUUCCACUGAUGCUGCCAGACCUGCUGAGUUUUGCCAGCAAUUGCCGUUAUUGUUUCAGCAUUAAGGCUAACUUGGCUAACCAUAUGUGACUCAUAGUUUUUUUUGUACAGUGGAACUUUACAAAAACAAUCAACCAAAUCGAUUGGGCUCCAUCAAACAAUCCUCAUUCUAUUUCCUCUUGAUCGUGACAUCUCUAACAGGGAGGAUUGAAUCGUCAGCGGCGGUGAAAUUCUGGGAAUUAGUCAAAGCAACCACCCGUUCUGGAAUGAUUCCCUGUAUCCCUGUGCGGCUGGAAAAAGUUCCUAUUCUGCUGCCUUGAGGAACCUGUGCCCAGGGAUCUCUGCAAGGACGGUACAUGGUUUGUGGCUUGUAAACCCCGAUCCAAUGAUAAAACAACACAUCUGAGCGGGUAAACAUCACUAAUGAACGGCUUAGUGUUUCUAGAGGCCGCCACCAUGUUUCUCCCGCCCAGCUCUGAGCCACCGUGAGCCCCGAAGGUAAAGUGAAUCCCUCUAAUAGUCCCAAUCUAUUUUAAAAUGAUUUUCAUUUUUUUUACGAAUGGCCGUUGAAUUUCCUCCUCGCUGCUGGCCGUUUUGUAAAUAUCUGACCCACAUGCACGAGGAGAACGUUUGGGAAGGGAGAAUAUUUUACUGCGGUUCGGAGCUGUGAACUUUUUAUAUGGAUUUUACAGUUUGCGAGUUAAACCUAACAACAAUGCAAAACUGUGUAAGGAAAAAUAUCAUGCACUUCUUCAUAAUAAUAACUUUAUUCAACCUUCGAAGUCGUUAGAAUCGAAAAGAUCCUAUUUAUAAAAGAUUGAUGUUUUUAAGUACGAGCCGGGAACUGGGCCAAAUGACAUCUUUACAGAAAUCAAACUGUUUCAAGCUCAAAAUCACAUUAUGUCCAAAGCCUUUGCACCCAGCAGCAAGAUAACGAUGAUAUCGGAAACAGUUUAUAGAGAACUCACACUGAGAAUCCAUGCAAUUACGCCCGUAUUAAUAAAGACAUCGACAGUCAUGGAGGGGCGGAGAGGCAGCGAAAUUGAAGAACAGCGACACCUGUCGAUUACAGCCCAAUCUCUGCUGGCCAAUUGUUUGUCGAGAUUCUUCAUUAGAUUUGGACGUUUUCCAAGGUUCUGUAUUGGGAACAUAGUUAUUCAUGAAGACAAUCCCCAAGGAAUCAAGGCUUCUUCUUAACAGUCAGUUCCCCUCACUACCUGCCUGAGAGGACCUUUCAGCCUUUUAACUGGAAAUUCCUGGAUUGUGGAGACAGUCGAUAAAGGGGAGGGGCCCACAGCAUCUCCUCAUGUUUUAUGGUUAAAUAACUGGUAAGGAGUGCCACUACUUACAGAAUAAAUGUGGUUUUAAGAAGAUGCCAAACUGAAACAAAGAAACACUUAUAGCAAAGAAGAGUUGGUGAUGGGACAGGACAAGGACAUGGUGGGAGGGGUGAUGCAGAAGAGAAAGAGAAAAAGAGAAAAUGGAGCAAAAAAAGAGAAACAAAGAAUUUGUGGGAGUCAUGUGAAAAACGAGAAAAAGAGAAGCACUGGAAAUGAAGAAAUAGAUACAGAGCAAAGAAGAAUGAAGAAAGAGAAUGAGAAAAAGAGAAACAAGAGAUAGACAGACAGAGACAAACAGAUCCAACACACUCCUCAUUAUAUAUUGUUCAUUGCACUGAACCAAAUUCAAUUUUCCAGUAAUUAAAAUUGUGCAAAUCCAAACAACACUGGAGUAGAGAUAAAAAUAGAGUAAUAGACAAUUUGAAUUACACAAAUCAGAAUUAAGAACAGAUUGUACAAAAACCAGGCCGAUUCUGCUAUGUCUAAACUUUCAGAUGGUAAAUGCAGAAAGAUUUCCUCUAUUCUUUAUCUGCAGUAACGUAGCUGACAUUUUAUUUUGAGACCAAUCUUCAUAUGCUUUCACAAUAUGUAAUAAAGAAAAAGGCUGAUUGGUACCUUCCCAUCCCAAAUUGUUUCUAUUUUUAUUGUGACUUUUUCUGAGAAUGAUUGACUUCAGGGAAAGCCAACAUCUGACUCCGCUGUCUCCUAUUUGGUUCAGCCUUCAUAAUGUAUUGUUCUACUGAGAAUAACCCCGUAAACUUAAAAUAAUUCAAAGCUUCACUGCUCAUAACCUGAAUGAACCCCUGCCCUCACUGAUUAAUGUUGGUUUCUGUUCCAGUAGCACCUCUACUUAAAAUUCUCAAGAUACAUUGAAAUUGCUCCAUGGCUUCAGCCCCUCCUAAUGUUGUAACCUUGUCCACACCCCAAAGGAUGUGUUCCCCUUCACAUCCCUGAUUUUAAUGACUUCAGCAUUAGAUUUGUGCUUUUACAACCUGGUUCCUAAGCGCUGGAAUUCCAUCUCUAAACCCAAACAUUCACCUCGUGGACCAAACUUGUGGUUAUCUGCUUUAUUAUCUCUUACAUGCUGUCACUUUGCCUGAUAAUGGGACCUGUGAAGCAAGUUGAAAUGUUUUACUACUUUAAAUAUACUACAUGAAUAUACUUUGUCAGGAACACUAUUAUUGAAACAGUUAAUGCAAAACCUUUAGAAAACAAAAGUGCAUUCUUGGCUCUAAACUUGAACAAUGUUGCAAAGACACUUCGUAUUUAUUAUUGUUUGGAGGACUUACAUUCUGUGUAGUAUAUGGAAAGGUUUCUUUUAAAAUGUUUCAUUGAAAAUUCUCUGUGGAAAUGAGCAGUAAUUUACCAAGGCUGCCUGCAGAUCACGUGACUGAUGAUAACUGCUUGAUUUGCUGCAGAUACUUUCUGGGGCUAUUUUGUUCUGUGGCUGCUUUGAAGAAGUACUCGCAUCAUUUUGUUCAGUUGGAUGGAAGCCUGGUAAAAACAAGCAAAGUUGAGGGAAAGCUUACAAGAACAAGCAGCCCAGCUGAUCUCUCUUAUUUCUGAAAAUAAAAUCCCUUUGUUGAGUUGAGGGUUAAACUUAUUUGGUCUUUUCAAAGGAUUACAUUCAGUUCUGCUACAACGCAAUUAGUUGCAUUUGAGUGCAACUUCGCAUGAUAGAAAAUGGUGCUAUAGAAAUAACAGGAGCCUAUGGGAAAAGUGGGGCUGGGGGCAGAUCAUGAGAAAAAAACACAUUCAAAAUUGUCCAAAAAUCACUUAAAACCCUAUCACAGAGGAUAGCACAAUUUAAAUAAAUGUUUAAUUCAUGUCUAAGAAUGAAAUAAAAGUAAAUUUAACACUUUACCUUAAAAAAAAAGUCAAGAUGACUAGAUGGGGGAUGAGAUUGUACUGUACCUCUCAUAGAAAGCACUCCACAACAAAGCCUGUGAAACAAUGAUGCGAUGUUGAUGCAUUCUUUACUCGGAGAGUGGUAAGGGCGUGGAACGCGCUGUCUGCCAAUGUAGUUAACUCAGCCACAUUAGGGGCAUUUAAACAGUCCUUGGAUAAGCAUAUGGGUGAUGAUGGGAUAGUGUAGGGGGAGGGGCUUAGAUUAGUUCACAGGUCAGUGCAACAUCGAGGGCUGAAAGGCCUGUCCUGCGCUGAAUUGUACUAUGUUCUAUACUCCUCCAUGCACUGAUGGAAUUGAGUUAUAGCCAACACAGGUUCGCGUUUUAGAAAUAGCAUUCACCUAUUCGUCAAUCAAGUUAUACGCAAUUCACGUUGCUGGAACACACAUUAUAGCAGAACUGACCGUAUUUAAGAAACAUAUCAAGGUUCUUCCCUUGGAUUGGGGAAUUUCAAGACAUUUUUUAGGGUGCGAGGAGAGAGGUUUAAAUAAGACGAGUGGCAAAUCUUUUACACUGAGAGUAUUCACGUGAAAUGAACUUCCUGAGGAAGUGGGGGAUGUGGGUACAGUUACAACAUUUAAAAUACAUUUGGAUAAGUACAUGAAUGGGAAAGGUUCAGAGGGGUAUGGGCCUGGAGCAGGCAGGCAGUGGGACUAGUUGAGUUUGGGGUUAUGUUCGGGAUGGACUGAAGGGUCUGUUUCUGUGCCGUACGACUGU